AAAGUUAAGAAAAAAUGUAAUUAUAUUUAAAUUUUCAUACAUAAUAUACUAAUAAUAUAAAAGUUCAGAUUAGAUUAGUUAAAGUUGAAGAAAUAUGCGAGUCACAUAUUAUAUCUCAUGAAUAAACCAAUUAACAUAAAUUAAUUCGAAACAAAUUUUAUAAAUUAACAUAUCACAUGAGUGUUAACUUAAAAAUGUAAUAAACUAUUUAUUAUAUUAUAUACUUUCCCGCUAAGUGAGUUGGCGCCCAAAAUCCUCUCUUAUAUAUAAAGACAGUAACAGUAAACGCAACAUAACUAAAUUUCUAAUUUUCUCUCCCUUCAAUGGCUUCCGAGAAACUCACCGAUUACGAGCUCAAGCGACUCACAACUCUCCAAUUUCAAGCGUCAAAGGUACUCUUCUCUCUUCUGUAACUUACCAUCUUUGGCUUGAACUUGAACUUGGUUCUUGCAAACUUGUGACUACAAUUUCAUGAGUCCUGGCUUUGCUAUUCAUAUUCUGAGGGUUUAUUUUUGUCUUUUCUGUUUUAAAGUGUUUUUCUUGAUUUGAUUUGCGUGGUUCAGAUUGAGAAUAAAUGAGAUACCGAUUUUAUUGUUCUCCUCUUGUGUUACAUCAACCAUUUUAUUGACUUGAUCACCUAACAGUAAGGAUUGAGUUUCUCGGUAACUUACCAUCUUUUUGGAAAUCUCCAGAGUUGAAACCAAAUCCUACAGCGUGAAACUGAAACCCCGAUUGAAAUAUUACAUUCGCCGGAACGAUGAGGUGAUGGCAGCGCUCAAACCCCGAUUGAUUUUUUUUUUGUCAGGUGUUGCAUAGCAUUGAGCCUGGUAUGACUUUCUCUUUGGCUUUUCAUUCUUGAAUUUAUGAAUUCAUCUUCUCUAGUUUCUAUAGCUUCUAUUAAGAGCGCCUGGUAGGACUUUCUCUAUUGGCUUUUCUUUCUUGAAUUUAUGAAUUCAUCUUGUCUAGUUUCUAUAACUUCUAUUAGGAGGGUCAGUGAUUUUCUUUAAUUCUUGGACUUUACAGCUAACACAACCAAUGACUCAUUUGAAGGUAUUUGAGUAAUUUUGGACUUUGUCACCAACCAUAUGGGUUGAACUGUGAACUGGUUUCUAUACUGUAAUAUUUGGAAGUGUUUCUUGUAAUCUUCCCGUGCUGUGUCGAGCCUAGAGCGGCUCCCUUGGUUUUGAAAUUUUGAAUUUACCUUAACCUUUCUAUACUAUGUCAUGUCAUCUCUUUAAAAGAGGUUGGUUUUCUCGAAUCACCAUGAUUCUUGUUCAGCUUUUAUUGGAAGGCAAUAUAUAUGUGGGCAGGUAUCAGAAACAGUGAAUGGCGGUCCAAUGAAACUUUAGGUUUUAUUAUCUUUGUGAAGUUUUGGGAUUGGAUUAAUAUUAUUGUUGGGUUGUUAAGAUUUAAUUAGUUAGGAUUUUAUUAGGAUUUUAUCAUUUAUUUAAUUAGUUAGGAUUUUAUUAGGAUUUUAUAAAUUAGUUAGGAUUUUAUAAUCUUUAGUACUCUAUAAAUAGAGUAUUGAACUAUUAUUUGAGAUAUCUAUAACUUUGUUUCCUUUCCCCAAUUCUCUAUCAUUGUUCUGGUUCUUGGUAUAAUCGGAAGCCACCUAAAGGUUCCCUUUGUCCAAAGCCUAAUCGUUCUUCGAAAUCUCUUACGAGAGGACCUAGACACUUCUACACACGAUCGUUCAUAUUAAUUGGUAUCAGCUAGGACCUUCCAGUACUUCAAUGGCAGAUUCAACACGCUUCGUUCAAGUUACUAAAGAGAUGGAAGAUCGACUCUCCCAAAUGAUGGAUAAUAGGUUGAUGGAACUCGCGACUUGUGUCUUUGCUCAAGCUACUAAAGAGAUGGAAGAUUGACUCUCCCAAAGGAUGGAUAAUAGGUUUGUCAAGGUUUCCUUCAACGUAGUCGAGUUCCAUAAACCUAUUAUCCAUCCUUUGGGAGAGUCGAUCUUCCAUCUCUUUAGUAGCUUGAGCGAAGCGUGUUGAAUCUGCCAUUCGUGUGUAGAAGCGUCUAGGUCCUCUCGUAAGAGAUUUCGAAGAACGAUUAGGCUUUGGACAAAGGGAACCUUUAGGUGGCUUCCGAUUAUACCAAGAACCAUAACAAUGAUAGAGAAUUGGGGAAAGGAAACAAAGUGCAUAUAUUAUUAAUAUCUCAAAUAAUAGUUCAAUACUCUAUUUAUAGCGUACUAAAGAUUAUAAAAUCCUAACUAAUUAGAUAAAUGAUAAAAUCCUAACUAAUUAAAUAAAUGAUAAAAUCCUAACUAAUUAAAUCUUAACAAUCCAACAAUAAUAUUAAUCAAAUCCCAAAACUUUAGGAUAUAACACUUUGCGGUUAUUCUCUUGUAGACAUGCACUAUAUGACUAUGAGAGGCUUUGACAUUUGUGUUUGUGUCUUCGACUUUGAUUAUCUUCUUCUACGUGUUGCAGUGACUUUCUACAUGUUGCACUGACUUACUAUGGAUGUCUAUUGGAUUGUGGAGGCAAUUGCGGUAGAUUAUUGGACUUACUGUGAAGCUUUAGGUUUUAUUAUGUUUCCAUUCACUAUCUUAUGUGCUUGAUUUGAAAUGGCUGUAUUCUCUCUUAUUGGUUGAAUAGUAGGAAGCUACACGUGUCAGUCACUGUGUGUCUAAGCUAGGGUGAUUCUUACUUAUGCUUAUCCUUGAUCUCGUGAUCCCAACUAUCUUCCAAAAUGAAUAUGUUCUCCAUAAUGACAAUAAUAUUUAGUUAUAUUUCCAAUAUGAGAAUGAAAAACUAUCUCUCAAGCUAUGAGAGACCUAUUCCAAAAGGAAAGCUCCAAGAGCUCUAUUUACUUCUUUCGGGUUGGGGUCUCAGUAUUUCUGAUAGGAUAUCGAACCAAACUGUAUCUUAUUUCUAACUAUAUUUCUCAAUCUUAGUCGUUUGCUGAUUUUGGUCUUUAUUAUUUAAUGUUUUUGGACUUGAUCACCUAACAUGUGGGCUGAACUGUUGUUUAUCUACAAUAGUAUUUCAAAGUGUUUUUGUAAUCUUCUUCGUGCUCUUGGUUUUGAAUUUGUGGCUUCCCUUGAUAUUUUAGAUUUUGUGAAUUUAUCUUAUUGUUUCUUUACUUUGUCAUGUCAUCUUUUUAAGAAGAUUAGUUUUCUCAAAUCGCCAUGAGUCUUCUUGAGCUUUGUCACGAGUCUUAUUGAACUUUGCCACGAGAAAUUCUUGAGCUUUGCCACGAGUAUUCUUGACCUUUUACAUGAAGGAUGUAGGGGUCAGGUUUUGGAAAUAGUGGAUGGAGAUACAGUUAAACUUUAGGCUUUAUUAUCUUUGCAUUCAUUAUUUUCUUUGCUGUUAUUCUUUUUGCUACUCUUGUGGAGUCGGAGUUUUUGUAAUUCGGCAUUUGACUUUGAUGAUUUGAUUAUCUUUUACUUGUGUUGUAGUGAUCUUUGAGCUUUGCCAUGAGUCUUCUUGACCUUUGCCACGAGUUUUCUUGAGCUUUGCCAUAUAAGACUUCUUGAGCUUUGCCAUGAGUCUUCUUGAGCUUUGCCAUCAUAAGUCUUCUUGAGCUUUGCCAUGAGACUUAUUGAGCUUUGCCAUGAGUCUUCGUGAGCUUCCAUGAGUCUGCUUGAGCUUUGCCAUGAGUCUUCUUGUGCUUUGCCAUGAGUCUUCUUGUGCUUUUCCAUGAGUCUUCGUGAGCUUUGCCAUGAGUCUUCUUGUGAUUUGCCAUGAGUCUUCUUAUGCUUUGCCAUAAGUCUUCUUGAGCUUUGCCAUGAAUCUUCUUGAGCUUUUACAUGAAGGAUGUAGGGUUCUGGUUUUGGAAACAGCGGAUGGAGUUACAGUUAAAGUUUAGGUUUUAUUAUCUUUGCAUUCAUUAUGCUGAUAAAAAAAUCUUUGCAUUCAUUAUUUUCUUUGUUGUUAUUCUUUUUGCUACUCUUGUGGAGUGGGAGUUCUUGUAAUUGGGCCUUUGACUUUGAUGAUUUGAUUAUAUUCUACUUGUGUUGUAGUGAACUUUGAGCUUUGCCAUGAGUCUUCUUGAGCUUUUCCAUGAGACUUGUUGAGCUUUGCCAUGAGACUUGUUGAGCUUUGCCAUGAAGGAUGUAGGGGUCAGGUUUUGGAAGCAACGGAUGGAGAUACAGUUAAAGUUUAGGUUUUAUUAUCUCUGCAUUUAUUAUGCUGAUAAAAAAAUUCUUUGCAUUCAUUAUUUUCUUUGCUGUUAUUCUUUUUGUUACUCUUGUGGAGUGGGAGUUAUUGUAAUUGUGCCUUUGACUUUGAUGAUCUGAUUGUCUUUUUCUACUUGUGUUGCAAUGAACACUUACCAUGGAUGUUUGUUGGACAUAUUUUGAAGCUUCAGGUUUUAUUAUUUUUCUACUCACUAUUUUUCUUAUGCGCUCGAUAUGGAAUGUCUACAGUUUUUCUUAUUGGCUAGAUAGUUGGAAGGUAUUGUAUGUAUCUAAGCAAGAACGAUAGUCUAGGUCCUCCAUCAUCUACCCUUAUUGAUUAUAGUUUUCUUGAAUUCAUUGGCCUUACAGGAAAGCUAAGCAAUGAAGUGUGGUGUAGGAUGUAAAAAUGGUGGGUGGAAAUUCUUUGAUCAGUGAAGCUAAAUGUUUUUUUCACCAGGACAUUGUUGUGUUCAUCUGAAUUAAGUUUUAACUGGCUCAACUUGUGGGUUUGAUUAUAAUCUUGGUUGUAACUUGUUGGUUUGAUUAUAAUCUUGGUUGUAUUUUGAUAAUGUAUGGUUCUAAGAGGAAUUGUGGGAUGAGCAUGAGACAAGUGCGGCUGGGCUUUAAUGUUUGAUUUGAUGGUUUGCUUCUUGGUUUGAGAAGUUCUACUAUUUAAUUUUGUUGACUUCUCUGCAUAAUUCUAUAAUAUAGGUCUUUUGUUCUAUAUAGGUCUUUGGUUCUUUUAAUAGUUUUCCAAAACCUUUCGAUUCAUUAUUCUUGAUCCCAAACAUAUGGGUUGAGUUGUGAACUUCUUUGGAAUUUUUUCAUGUAACUCUUACGCUGAAAUUUUUGAAAUUAGUAUAAGAAUGAUCCUGAAAUUGAAAUUGUUUAAAUGCUUCACUUUUGCGUCAACAAUCUCCAUAUGUGUUUGUCGUUCCUCGAUUUUUGAAAUUUGCAUUUUUUUGUUUGCAACACAUUGAGUCUUUAUCUGAGGUUUCUCUUUCAGUUUAUUAACUCAACCAGUGAUGGAAUAUAGUGGGACGACUAACCUGUCUAAUCAACCAGUUACAGAUUUUUUUUUUUUCCUUUAUUGUUUAUUGAGUUGAGUGUUUUCAAAAUAUUUUUGUAACCACUUGGGAUUGAAAGUGCAACGUUAUGCCUGGCAUUAGAUAAUUGGACUUCUUUUAUUAGUUAUCCAAACCGUUCAUUUUUUUCAUAUUUGUUCUAUUUGGACAGGAAUUGUAUGCGAGAAAGAUAAUGGAUUUUUGGAGGUGAAUUUGUUUCAUAUUUGUUCUAUUUGGACAGGAAUUGUAUGCGAGAAAGAUAAUGGAGUUUUGGAGGUGAAUUUGUUUCAUAUUUGUUCUAUUUGGACAGGAAUUGUAUGCGAGAAAGAUAAUGAAGUUUUGGAGGUGAAUUUGUUAAUUUCAGUAACGACUCUGGAGGAUUUGUAUUUUGGAGGUGAAUUUGUUAAUUCCAGUCAAAACGACGAAGAACUCUUGAUAAAGUAAUUUUCUUUGUUAUUCUAUUUCUCUACCCAAUCCCGGUGUUGCAUUAAUCCCUUUUCAGCAUACAGAACUGUGACCGAUAAGUCUGUAUGCAACGACGUUUUUGGAAAUUUUGUGUCUCAAACUUAUUAUUAGGACUUAUUACCUUGGUUUUAUCUGAUCAUUCUGGACUUGCUAUCUUCUUCUGUGGGUUUUGGUUUGGUUUCAAUUUUCCGUAUUGUCUCAUAAGUUUGUAGUAUUGGAUUUUUUUGUUUGCAUAUCAGAAACUGAACCAAUCUCAAGGCAUUAAGUUUCUAUAGUUGGAGUUGUAUGAAAUUUAGAUAGUCUCUUUAAUAUUGCAUGGUAGGUUUUUUAUACGAUGUACAAGUAUAUCCAGUUUUAUUUGGAUAUUUUUUAGCAACAAGCUUUUGGAAUAGGAUUGUGUGAGUGCUACCAUUGGAAAGUUCAACUUGAAACGACAACAACUCACAAUAGCCUAAUUUCUUCUAUAUGAGGUUUCACCUUUUACUUAACUUCUAAGGACUUGAUCACCAACAAUAGGAUUGAAUUGUGAUUUGUUUUUCUACUGUGGUUUAUGAUUGGAUUCACACAAUGUCUGGAUCUCAUCGAGCUUUUAAUGAGUUUGUUUCUUAGUUUAAGAAAUUGUCGAAUAUUUUUUUAAAUUCCUCCCCUGGAACAAGUGUUUUUGUUUUCUUGAAUUUUUGCUCUUUAAAGGUAAGACAAGCAAUGGAUGUGUGAGGACAUGUAGAAACAUAGGGAUCAAUUGAAGCUUUAGUUUGUGUUAAUUCGUGACUGGUUAUUUGAGUGCAGUCUUUUAUUUGGUGACAGAGAUGUAUCAAAAUAAAAAAAAUGGUUUAGGAUUUCCUCUCUAUUUGAUAUUUUCAGAUUUGAUCACCAAAUAUAAGGAUUUUCCGUGGUCAUUUGUUUCUCUGCAGUGAUGUUUGCAUUAUGUUUCAUGCUACGUCUAAUGUAUCAUGUUGUCUGGAAGUUUUUAUGGCUCUUGGUAACAGGCUUUACAAGAGUUUCAGAGGAUCAGGUGAUACCUAUUAUCAUAAUUGUGUCUUGCAGUGUGAAUUGUUCAAGUUUAUUCAUUUGCAAAAGGGAUCAGUUAUUCAUUCAUUUUUGCAGAAGAUUAGAUGGCUAACAUUAUUGUCUGUUCAUUUGAUCCAGUAAGAGCCCAUUCUAGAAAUGUGGAUUUCUCUUUUUUGUUGAUUUUUAGAUUUGGAAUUGUUCAAGUACCAACAGCAUGAUUUCAUGGUCUCUUAUGAUUUCCUCUGAAUUCUUGGUUGUUGUUUUGACAGGAUAGGGUUUGGGUAGACUUUGG
rnacentral:lncRNA from 1 species